GACAGAGGGGGGCAAGCGUUGCUCGGAAUCACUGGGCGUAAAGGGCGCGUAGGCGGGAUGGCAAGUCAGUCGUGAAAUCUCUCGGCUCAACCGAGAAACGUCGGCUGAUACUGCCGUUCUUGAGGGAUGCAGAGGAGACUGGAAUUCCCGGUGUAGCGGUGAAAUGUGUAGAGAUCGGGAGGAACACCGGUGGCGAAGGCGGGUCUCUGGGCAUUUCCUGACGCUGAGGCGCGAAAGCGUGGGGAGCAAACAGG
rnacentral:rRNA from 1 species